rnacentral:rRNA from 1 species
AGUUAAGAAAUGUAGGCUCGCUAAUAUCGUGUCUAUUUGACAAAGGCUCCAAAGGAAGCCACGUCUAACUCUGUGCCAGCAGCCGCGGUAAUACAGAGGUGGCAAGCGUUGUUCGGAAUUAUUGGUCGUAAAGAGCACGUAGGUGGAUCUGUAAGUCAGAUGUGAAAGCCUUCUGUUCAACGGGAGAAUUGCAUCUGAAACUACAGACCUUGAGUGUAGGAGGGGAGAGUGGAACUUCUGGU